ACAGGCGAGGGCGUUCGGCGACGUUACUGGGGCUGCACGGUGCUUGUAGCUGGGCAGUCUUAUCAUCAGAGUGGAGCCUGGUAACCACGACCUCCCCGCCAGGUCCUGUGUGUUGCUAGCUGGAGAAGGGUAGUUGAAAACUCAGACCAAGCACAGUGUUUAUAUCGGUCAAAACUGGAAAACUAUGUCCGGGCGCAGCCGAGGCUGGAGGAUCCCUUCAGGCCAAGAGCAACCUAGCAAUAUGGCGCGACCGGAUCUCUGUAGUCCUACCUCAACCCCCAGCUACUUGAACCCCAAGGUUGAAGGCUCCAGUGAGCUAUGAUCCCACCACAGCAUUGCAGCCUGCCAGACUGAGACAUGAACUUAUGAAUUCAACACAUGAAGACUUACAACUUGAUAAACCAGCUUCAGGAGGCUGGAGUGCAAUGGUGCGAUCUGGGCUCACUGCAACCUCUACCUCCUGGGUUCAAGCGAUUCUCCUGUGUCAGCCUCCUGAAUAGCUGGGAUCACAGGUUCCUGAAAGGGAGAGAGGAAAUCUUCGAUUUUUCAUGGCUGUGAACCACUGCAAGUAUUGAAGAAAUAUUUACUACUUCCAGCCUCAUAAUCCUGCAGUCAUUUGGCACCUCUGAAGCCUUGGGGAGCACUGAAGCCAAGGCUGCACCGUACCAAAAAUUUGAAACAUGUGAAUGAGCUGAAUGUGGAAGGACUACCGGAAAACACUCCUUUCAGAAUCCCCUCAUUGCAUGAAAUCCCAAGGCUCGAAAACAUCUUUCAAGUGAGCAAUUGAAUUAAGUUUGUUAUUAAGAGUAACUCCAGUUAGCCUCCAUUGUCUCCAAGCCGGCUUUUGUCCUCAUCCACAACGCCUCCACACAAGCUCUGAACACCUGUCCAUGCUAUAAUAGGCCCAGGAAUCUGUACUUCGAAUGUUUCUUCAGUUGGUCUAACUCACACAAGAACGGUGAUUCAUCAUAGCUCAAGGAGAUGUGCUGAAGUGUUUGCAUCCAUCGACAGCAUGCACAGGACUAUUGCUGAACUUCAUUUUGUGCUAACUUGAGACUGCCAUGCUGUUAGGAAGUUCAAGUUCACCACAUGGAGAUGAAAUAAGAUAUCAUGAUAAACAUCCCCAGCUGAUCCCAGCCUCCAGUGAUCCAUCAACUACAUAUAUGAUCCUAAGUCACAUGUGUGACCCCGAGCAAGAUCAGCAGAACAAUCACUCAGCCAACCCACAGAACCCUGAAAAAAUAUAAAUCAUUAUAGUUUAAACCACAAGUUUUGGGUAGCUUGUUAUGCUGCUAUUGAUAAUUAAAACAAACUGGAAUAUUUUCAUCUA
rnacentral:lncRNA from 1 species